rnacentral:rRNA from 1 species
UACGUAGGGUGCAAGCGUUAAUCGGAAUUACUGGGCGUAAAGCGUGCGCAGGCGGCUUUGCAAGACAGAUGUGAAAUCCCCGGGCUUAACCUGGGAACUGCAUUUGUGACUGCAUAGCUAGAGUACGGUAGAGGGGGAUGGAAUUCCGCGUGUAGCAGUGAAAUGCGUAGAUAUGCGGAGGAACACCGAUGGCGAAGGCAAUCCCCUGGACCUGUACUGACGCUCAUGCACGAAAGCGUGGGGAGCAAACAGG